CUCCAGCAAUGAGCUCGCACCUCAACGCGGUGCUGGAGUCCAGUAGCCAUAUGGCGAAGCUAGGGCGAGCU
rnacentral:ribozyme from 1 species